UACCACUCGAGGAAGCUCCGGCUAACUACGUGCCAGCAGCCGCGGUAAUACGUAGGGGGCUAGCGUUGUUCGGAAUCACUGGGCGUAAAGGGAGUGUAAGCGGACCGGUCAGUUAGGAGUUAAAUGUACGGGCUCAACCCGGGAAUCUUGCUUUUAAUACUGUCGGUCUUGAGUAUGGGAGAGGGAGAUGGAAUUCCAGGUGUAGCGGUGGGAAUGCGUUAGAAAUCUGGAAGAACACCAGUUGCGAAGGGCGGUCUCCUGGACCAAUACUGACGCUGAUGCUCGAAAGCUGGGGGAGCGAACAGGAUUAGAUACCCUGGUAGUCCCAGCCGUAAACGAUGGACACUAGUUGCCGGAGGAGUCAAUCCCUUCGGUGACGAAGCUAACGCAUUAAGUGUCCCGCCUGGGGAGUACGCUCGCAAGGGUGAAACUCAAAGGAAUUGACGGGGGCCCGCACAAGCGGUGGAGCAUGUGCUUUAAUUCGAUGCAACGCGAAGAACCUUACCUGGGUUUGACAUGGGGGUGAAAGUUUCCAGAGAUGGAAGCCUUUCCUUCGGGAACACCCCACACAGGUGCUGCAUGGUUGUCGUCAGCUCGUGUCGUGAGAUGUUGGGUUAAGUCCCGCAACGAGCGCAACCCCUGCCCUUAGUUGCCAUCAGGUAAAGCUGGGAACUCUAAGGGGACAGCUUGGUAUAACCAGGAGGAAGGUGGGGAUGACGUCAAAUCAUCAUGGCUCUUACGCCCAGGGCUAGACACGUGCUACAAUGGCAGGUACAGUGGGAUGCCAGCCUGCGAAGGUGAGCUAAUCCCUUAAAACCUGUCUCAGUCCGGAUUGGAGUCUGCAACUCGACUCCAUGAAGUUGGAAUCGCUAGUAAUCGCGGAUCAGCAUGCCGCGGUGAAUACGUUCCCGGGCNUUGUACACACCGCCCGUCAAGCCAUGAAAGGCGGUAGUACCCGAAGUCGC
rnacentral:rRNA from 1 species